CAGUGAGUUACGAGAUCAAUUCGGUUCUGGUGCUGCAGAAACAAGCUGGAUUGCCUCCCUUAGUUCCGGACUGCUUCUUUCGUUUGCUUUUUUAGUUUCGUAUAUUGUGUUCCGAAAUGGAAGAAAACAAGAGUUUCCGAAUGCGUUAUGGUUUUUACAUGAAGAAUUGAAGGGUGGUUACUUUGUCCGAUUUACCUGCUGCAGUUCAUCUAUUACGCUUUAAAUGAGGAAAAUACGGAGUCAAACAGGCUGGUGAAUUUACAACACAGGAAAGUCACCAAUGUGCAUAGAUGCUGUCUAAAGUGAUUAUGAUGUCAUUAUUUGAUGAUUACUUCAAUAUUCACUCUUUCAUUGUAAAUGUAGCAACCAAUAAAUUAUGUGACAUUAA